rnacentral:rRNA from 1 species
GUGGGGUAAUUUUCCGCAAUGGGCGAAAGCCUGACGGAGCAAUGCCGCGUGGAGGUGGAAGGCCUACGGGUCGUCAACUUCUUUUCUCGGAGAAGAAACAAUGACGGUAUCUGAGGAAUAAGCAUCGGCUAACUCUGUGCCGG